UACGGAAGGCAGCAGUGGGGAAUAUUGCACAAUGGGCGAAAGCCUGAUGCAGCUAUGCCGCGUGUAUGAAGAAGGCCUUAGGGUUGUAAAGUACUUUCAUCGGGGAGGAAAAACAAAACUAAUAAUUUUAUUUCUUGACGUUACCCGAAAAAGAAGCACCGGCUAACUCCGUGCCAGCAGCCGCGGUAAUACGGAGGGUGCUAGCGUUAAUCAGAAUUACUGGGCGUAAAGAGCACGUAGGUUGGUUUUUUAAGUCAGAUGUGAAAUCCCUGGGCUUAACCUAGGAACUGCAUUUUGAAACUGAAAUACUAGAGUAUCGUAGAGGGAGGUAGAAUUCUAGGUGUAGCGGUGAAAUGCGUAGAUAUCUGGAGGAAUACCUGUGGCGAAAGCGGCCUCCUAAACGAAUACUGACACUGAGGUGCAAAAGCGUGGGGAGCAAACGAGGGAUUAGAUACCCGU
rnacentral:rRNA from 1 species